AAGAGAGAGAAAAAGAAAGAGAGAGCGCUCCAUUUUGUGAGGACAUAGGGAGAAAGCAGUCAUCUGCAAGCCUGGGAGAGACCUCUUUCCAGAAAUCAAAUUAUCAUUAAUAAAACAGAGCCACCAGGCCAGACUGAGCAAAUUCUCCCUCUUGCUACGCCCUCCACUUUCUCCAAUGGGAACACUGCUCCGGGUCUGUCACCAGCCUGGGUAGACGCAUCCUGCUCUGCUUCUAAAUCUGGGCCCCUGCACAGACGUCACAGCCAAUUUACAUUAAAGUUUUAGGUGCAGCCAGGCUGCACUGGAUCUGAAGUGCCAUCCGAGUCCAAGAACACUGCAUCUUCUCCUGGACUUCCUCUGCCUACAGGGGCUGAGAGCCUGCAGAGUCCUCUCCAUGGCAAAGCUCUCCCAGAAACACAGGAACUAAAUUUCCGGCACUCAAGUAGGAAAGACGCAACCUCGGCUACUUAGGUAGUUUGGCUGCCACAAUCGGAACUUGGAUCCAAGGAAGAAAAUAUAAGGAUGCUGCUUUUCGUCCAUUAUGAUAGCUUUGAAUAUUCCAAGUAAAAAAAGUUAGUAUUAUCGUC
rnacentral:lncRNA from 1 species